CCCACGUCUACCUUGUCACAAUGAUAAAAUGCAAACCUCCUUAAUAUCUAUCAUCAAAAAAAUAACGGUAUGCAAGGAGUUUGACAUGAGAAUAGUCUGAGGACUCUGCCUUCCACUGCAGAUAUUGAAAGCUGG
rnacentral:lncRNA from 1 species